ACGGAAGGCAGCAGUGGGGAAUAUUGCACAAUGGGCGAAAGCCUGAUGCAGCGACGCCGCGUGAGUGAAGAAGUAUUUCGGUAUGUAAAGCUCUAUCAGCAGGGAAGAAAAUGACGGUACCUGACUAAGAAGCUCCGGCUAAAUACGUGCCAGCAGCCGCGGUAAUACGUAUGGAGCAAGCGUUAUCCGGAUUUACUGGGUGUAAAGGGAGCGUAGACGGUGUGUAAGUCUGAAGUGAAAGCUCGAGGCUCAACUUCGGAAUUGCUUUGGAAACUAUCAUACUAGAGUGCAGGAGAGGCAAGUGGAAUUCCUAGUGUAGCGGUGGAAUGCGUAGAUAUUAGGAGGAACACCAGUGGCGAAGGCGGCUUGCUGGACUGUAACUGACGUUGAGGCUCGAAAGCGUGGGGAGCAAACAGGAUUAGAUACCCUGGUA
rnacentral:rRNA from 1 species